CAAGUACUCCCUCCGUCCGGAAUUACUUGUCAUCAAAAUGGAUGUGUCUAGAACUAAAAUACAUCUAGAUACAUCCAUUUCAAUGACAAGUAUUUUCGGAUGAAGGGAGUACAAG
rnacentral:pre_miRNA from 1 species